rnacentral:ncRNA from 2 species
UCUGAUAUUAUCUGUAAGGAUUAUAUAAGUUCAUAAUACGGAUGAACGUUUCUACUAACUGCCGCAAAUAGUUAUCUAUAACCGCUUUUAUAGAUAUA